UCAUAUAUGGAGUUACCCUACAAAGGAUAAGAUAUAUAAUUUGGCAAUAAAAGUUUUUACUAAAAUUACUUAUUAUUAUUUAAUUGACUAUCUAGAUAAUUCUAAAGAUAUAGAUUCUACUAUCUUGACAGAAAUAUAAAGAUUGUUGAGUUUAAUCAUACUAAAUUUUUAGAGUCCGAUAUGGAUGAUUAUACAUACUCUCAUGCUAUAAAUAUGAUAUUAAAGAAAAAAAUCAUUAUUCUUAUUCUAAUUAUCCAAGAAAAUAUCAUAUUUUAUCUUGAAAGGAU
rnacentral:lncRNA from 1 species